GUGGUGCCAACCAAGAAGAAAGCUCACCCACAUCUUCCAUGCACAUUCUCCACCACUUGACAUUUAGAAUCAAUUCUUUAUAUCAACCAACCAACAAAGAUGGCCAAGCAAUUCUUCAUGACCUUUACUUGCUACUUGAUCAAUGGAAGGUCUCUGUAUGUAUCAGAAUGAACAAAGAAACAACUGUUAGAAUUCCCUCCCAUCUCUCUCUCUCUCUCUCUCUCUCUCUCUCUCUCUCCCUCCCUCCCCCCAACACACACACACAUUACUUUAGCCUAUAAGCAAGUUGCUUGUAAAUUGUCUAGUUUGCAAGUAAACCAAGUGUUUGACAAAAUGCUCAUCAAUAUGUACAACAAGUUUGUUGGGUAUGUUUCCCGCUGUACUUGCAGGUAGAUGUUGAAUUCUGGGAUUCUGCCAAGGUGUUGCAUCAGCUGGAGCUUAAUGUAAUGUGGCACCAGAUCAUCAAACAAGUCUCCCUAAACUAUAUCAGAUGUACUGGUCAAGAUGGGUCAAUCCUACAUCAAAUCAUAUACCAAACACAACAGGGACUUAUGAAGCUGCAUCUCAAUUCAAAUUAUGAAGUCAAGACAACUUCUAUUGUCUAUGAGGAGUGUAAACUCUUAUCAAUAAAAGGAAGCAUUCGCUUUCAUCAUGAACUUCCCUAUCAAUUUGGGCUGUUUUGCAGCGGAAGAUGACUUUUAAGAGUUGAUAGAAUGUAACUGCAAGCAAAGAGAUUCUCCAAUAUGGAGAACAACAGUCUUUUCCUCUCAGAAGCAGCCAAUCCCCACUAAGAAAUCAGUGGAUUCCUCAACGGGUUUUCAAGGGGCGCAAGAGAGAUCGAUAGGUGAUCAUCCAGCACAAAUUGGGAGAUGCAUUGGCCAUAUUGAUGGAGGUGACAAUGUCUCAGGAUGCGCAUUUCAUCAAACACCUUCGUUGUGGGCCACUGGAUCACGUUGCUGUUUUCUGGGAAUAAGCCCGGCCCAUUUAAAGCUAAAAAGGUCUCGUUAUGUUAACCACCUCAGCCGCGACGAGCAGCGGGGUGGUUCGGCUCGGCCGUGUCGAGAAACAUAUAAACCUCUACCGUGGUGAAAUUUCUCGGUCGAAAUGCAUCCGCUCGCCGUCCACGAGACAUGGGCUUGUUGCCACGCCUCCGCUCCUCCCCUCGAAGAUGAUGAUGGUGUUCUGGAAGAGUGGCCACGUAGGGAAGGCCCAAAGAAUCCAGGUCUCCGGCAACGCAGUGCUGUCCGUACUCCUCGACUCGGGCCGCUUGGAUUCUGCCUCGAAGUUGUUCGCCGAAAUGCCUCCGACGAGUGCGACGUCCUACACGGCGAUGAUCGAUCGAUUCUCGAGGUCGAUUCGCGUCACGGAAGCGCGGUAUCUGUUUGAUUCCAGUCCUUCGGGCGACCGGAACGUGUUCUCGUGGGCAGCCAUGAUGUCUUGCUCUGCGUAGAACGAUGAGCCCCUCCGCGUUGUGAGGCUCUUCGAGAAUCCCUACGGGAUCUCUUUGAGUAGUACUGUGCUAAAAUCUUGUGGUUGCUUACGAUCUCUAGUGGCCACAAAGCGGAUCCAUUCUUUGACAAUGAAGCUUUUGGGUGGGGAAGGAAAAGGAUCGAUCUUUGUUUCAGAAUGCUCGUACCUCAAAUUGGACUUGCUUUGACUUGAAGGAUUCAGAAGAAAUAGAACUACUCUAUCAGAUCGAAGGAUGUUGGCAGUGAUUGGUCCAUUAUAUUCACAUUGGAGAUACAGACAGUAGAGUGAUAUGGAUUACUUCUCUCGAGGCUAAAGAUGUUGAAGGGCAACUCUGGGAGAUGAGAAUGAAGAACAGAAGUUGAAAUGGUGUGAUUCAAGUAUCAAUGCUGAAAAGUAAUUCUUCUCACUUCACCAGUUCUAUUACAAGGAUGCCGUAAAUGACAUCAAAUCUAAGGAGAUUGAGCCUUCAAAAUGGACUCAGUUGAGCAAGCCUGAAGGAGAGGGUCUCACGAGGAUGCAAUCAACUCCUUGGAUAAGAGAGCCUCCAUCCUCAUCGUCAACAAAUCAAAGUCAUCUUCUGUCUUAACAAGGCUUAGGCGUGUGUAAUGGCUGUUGGCUUCAAAGAGUGUACCAGAGCGCGAGGUGAUGCCCGAUGUCUUAAGCACAGAAUAGCAGUCCUUGUCUUCCUCCGUCUCGCACUUUAGCCAAGCAUAAGCUGCAUGAUUGAGUGUUAGUAAUAUCUAAAAACUGCUUCAGUAAUCCUUCUUAAGGGAAGAUGGUAGCUUUUUUUCCUCAUUAUUACCUGGAGAUGGGUCUCGGAUCCUUUUGAAGUAGUUGCAAUAACGAGGAAGGAGUGGUUGGAUAGAGAAACGAUUGGAAGAGGAGACGAGCUUAUGCAACUUGCUCCACCUUGUCUUCAGUGUCUUGUAACCAAAUUCGAAAAUGCCUCCUCCUUUUCCCAUCUCUGCUAUCACCACUCUGAUGAGCUUCAGAACUCUAAGUUGGACAUCACAAGAAACAACCAUGGUGUUCAAAGACAUGUAUUCUGCAGCUUUCUGGCUAUGGAGCAACAAUUUAUCAGAACUCAGUCACAGCUAGGAUUUCCAUCACUGCUUGUCCUCCAAGUCUUACUCAAGCCCAAUAGGUGAAGUUGCAAGUAUGUUACUGUUGCUUUAAACUAGGAGGUUUCAUGGCACAAAAUGCAUUGAAGUGUAUGUGGAGGAACAUACCAAAGCCUGAUACCAGCAUGGCCUGAGAUCUUGGAAAUGGUAAACAGCAUAAUAUCUUCAUCUGCUGGAGCUGGAAUUGAUGAAUAGUGAGGCCAAAAGUAGGCAUGAUCAUGGAUCACUGCCGAUGCACCGAGAACAGAUUGCUGCAAGAGCCCAUCUGGAUCGUUCGGCGAAGUGACAUACUCAAUGAUCUUUGUUGCAGGAUACUUACUGGGUUGUGGGGAGCCGAUGCAACGAGACAUGCAGGGGAUGAGGAGGCAUUGUCGGCAGAGAGGGCGUGAACCAGAGCAUGGAGGAGCUCGGCUACCUCUGAUCCAAAGAGGAUGAACUUUCCAUCCGUGAUUGCGUUCUCCGCAGCUUUGUGAAGGAGACGAACAUGCCUGUCGAGCUCGGCGGAAAUGAAGUCACCGCCCAUGGUCUGAGAACUCAUGCACUGCCAUCCUGGCAAGACGAUCGAGCUGGUUGAUGCAUGCUGCUGCCAGUAUGGCUCCAAAAACAAUGGAUCCUCACUGCGAAGAAUUGGGAACGGGCGUCUCACCUGUCGGCGUCGGCGGGGCAGUCGAGCAGCAGCUGGGAGCAGUCGUCGCCGGAGUAGCACGCGUUGCACUCGCACGCGGGGAGACCUCCGCCGGCCAGAAAGGCGCGGCCGUGGCCAGAGCAGUCGAUCGCGGCGACGGCCUCGGCGUCCCUGGCGGCGGAGCGAGCCCACCCGGGCGGCGGCUGGUGGCGGGACAGGACGAGGUAGCAGAAGAAGAAGACGUUGAGGAAGAGGGAAGCGUGGAGGAAGAGAAGGAGCUUCAGCCCCGGGCGCCGCCGCCCUCCACGUCUUGCCUCGUCCAUUCACACCGCACACGCAGGAAGCCGCCGCCACCUUCGGCAUCGAUGGUAUGGAUUCUGCGACUCGUUUAUUCCGAGAGAGAGAGAAUCUCGAAAGAAUAUUACGCUAAGGAAUAUACCACGUAAUAAUUGGCAUGGUUAAAACGGGUCGGAUUCUAUAAAAGAAGUCCGAAUCCGUUUCCUCUUUUGAUCGGUUUAUGAAAUGUGAUUGCAGUGAAGCGGGUGAGUUCCUAUAA